CGAGCGAACGGGGAGCAGCCCAGAGCCUGAAUCAGUAUGUGUGUUAGUGGAAGCGUCUGGAAAGGCGCGCGAUACAGGGUGACAGCCCCGUACACAAAAAUGCACAUGCUGUGAGCUCGAUGAGUAGGGCGGGACACGUGGUAUCCUGUCUGAAUAUGGGGGGACCAUCCUCCAAGGCUAAAUACUCCUGACUGACCGAUAGUGAACCAGUACCGUGAGGGAAAGGCGAAAAGAACCCCGGCGAGGGGAGUGAAAAAGAACCUGAAACCGUGUACGUACAAGCAGUGGGAGCACGCUUAGGCGUGUGACUGCGUACCUUUUGUAUAAUGGGUCAGCGACUUAUAUUCUGUAGCAAGGUUAACCGAAUAGGGGAGCCGAAGGGAAACCGAGUCUUAACUGGGCGUUAAGUUGCAGGGUAUAGACCCGAAACCCGGUGAUCUAGCCAUGGGCAGGUUGAAGGUUGGGUAACACUAACUGGAGGACCGAACCGACUAAUGUUGAAAAAUUAGCGGAUGACUUGUGGCUGGGGGUGAAAGGCCAAUCAAACCGGGAGAUAGCUGGUUCUCCCCGAAAGCUAUUUAGGUAGCGCCUCGUGAAUUCAUCUCCGGGGGUAGAGCACUGUUUCGGCAAGGGGGUCAUCCCGACUUACCAACCCGAUGCAAACUGCGAAUACCGGAGAAUGUUAUCACGGGAGACACACGGCGGGUGCUAACGUCCGUCGUGAAGAGGGAAACAACCCAGACCGCCAGCUAAGGUCCCAAAGUCAUGGUUAAGUGGGAAACGAUGUGGGAAGGCCCAGACAGCCAGGAUGUUGGCUUAGAAGCAGCCAUCAUUUAAAGAAAGCGUAAUAGCUCACUGGUCGAGUCGGCCUGCGCGGAAGAUGUAACGGGGCUAAACCAUGCAC
rnacentral:rRNA from 1 species